UGAAAAACAUGUUCCCGUACGAUCACCCAAGUUAAACAACGUGGAGCCUCUUCAGUACCUGGAUGGGUGACCGCUUCGGAAUACUUGGUGUU